rnacentral:lncRNA from 1 species
GAGACUUUCUCAGUUUUUGCAUCGCAUGUGAGGGUUUGUUGGGUGCUCCUAAACCCUCAUCAUGGUCAUUCUUCUUGGCUGGGCUGUUGAUUUAAUUAGGUUUGCCUUCUCUUGCUAACGUGCUCUUAUUUAUGCCAGUGUUUGUGGUUCUGGGUGUAGACUUUCAGGAAGCACAGCCAUGAAGCUGCAUGCGUCUGUGUGUGGAUGCCUCAUGCCUUUUCCUGGUGGUUUGCAGGCAUGGAAGAUUCUUCUGUUCAUCUAAGCUCCUGACUUUAGGCCCUUCUAGAACAUUAGAGAGGAGAAGAAAUCACGUGCAAGGAUUUAGGGACAAGAGGAUGAGGUUUUGGUGUUUCCUUUCUGGUAUUAGGUUUUCCAGAGAGAGGCUGUUAGCCUGUCUCUCGCCCACUCCACCACUGUGAAUCCUGGCUACUGGGGCUAGUUCCUUGCUAGGAAAAAAAAACUCUAGAGAAAUGUGUUUGUGUGUGGUGGGUGGGCGGGGGCCCUGAGGAUGCAGGGACUGUGUCUGCUGUGUUGUCUGUUAUAAGAUGUUUCAGACCUAUUUUGCAUACUGGCAGCGACAAGUUGAGACUUGUUCAACUUGACACAGUCCUGUGGUCAUAGCGAAUCUUUCUAAAGCUCUGAUCAGUCAAGAAGGGGGUUGUAUCAAUCCUCAGAACCCUGAGUGGAACUUUCUACAGGAUUUAUUAGGAGAAAAACCUUCCCGGAAGCUGCAGAAGGACAAAUACAGAAUCCGUGUCUGGGAGAAACCUCGUGGCCUGGUCUCCAUUAUUUGAGAUGAGUUACAUCUUGGAGGUGAGGACGUGCCUCGUGGUCUAAAGCUUCGGCACAAGGGCCCAACUGGAAUUCCACUUACGGGCCUGAUCUUUUGGCCAGAAGGAGAUUAAAAAGAUGCCCCUCAAGAUGGCUGUGCCUGUCAGCUGCAUGGAGCUUCGUUCAAGUAUUUUCUGAGCCUGAUGGAUUUACAGUGAUCUUCAGUGGUCUGGGGAAUAACGCUGGUGGAACCAUGCACUGGAAUGACACACGCCCGGCACAUUUCAGGAUACUAAAAGUGGUUUUAAGGGAGGCUGUGGCUGAAUGCCUCAUGGAUUCUUACAGCUUGGAUGUCCAUGGGGGACGAAGGACUGCAGCUGGCUGAGAGGGUUGAGAUCUCUGUUUACUUAGAUCUCUGCCAACUUCCUUUGGGUCUCCCUAUGGAAUGUAAGACCCCGACUCUUCCUGGUGAAGCAUCUGAUGCACGUUCCAUCCGGCGCUCAGCUGGGCUUGAGCUGACCAUACUCCCUGGAGCCUUCUCCCGAGGUGCGCGGGUGACCUUGGCACAUACAGCCAUCAUGAUGGUACUUUAAGUGGAGGCUGAAUCAUCUCCCCUUUGAGCUGCUUGGCACGUGGCUCCCUUGGUGUUCCCCUUUUACUGCCAGGACACUGAGAUUUGGAGAGAAUCCUGUUACACCUGGGAUUUAGGCACUUUCAAUCUGAAAAAAUACAUAUCCUUUCAGCACUCUGGACGGACUUGAGAACUGUCCUUACGUGACCUAAAGCUGGAGUAUUUUGAGAUUGGAGAAUUAAGAGUGUGGGCACCCUGGCUUCAAGCUCACGAGAAACCAGGUCGGGAUUUAAACAAUGUUGGGUUAAAGCAAAGUUUCAUAAAGACAGAAUCAAGAAAAAAAGAAAGAGAAACCAAUCUAAGU